rnacentral:rRNA from 1 species
GCCUCAGUAACGGCGAGUGAAGCGGCAACAGCUCAAAUUUGAAAUCUGGCUCCUUUGGAGUCCGAAUUGUAAUUUGUAGAGGAUGUUUCGGCGUUGGCGCCGCCCAAAGUUCCUUGGAACGGGACGUCAUAGAGGGUGAGAGCCCCGUGUCCGGGCGGAUGUCUUUGCCAUGUGAAACUCCUUCGACGAGUCGAGUUGUUUGGGAAUGCAGCUCAAAAUGGGAGGUAAAUUUCUUCCAAAGCUAAAUACCGGCCGGAGACCGAUAGUGCACAAGUAGAGUGAUCGAAAGAUGAAAAGCACUUUGGAAAGAGAGUCAAACAGCGCGUGAAAUUGUUGAAAGGGAAGCGCUUGAGGUCAGACUUGGCCGCCGUUGCUCGAGGGGGUCUCGUGCCCCCUUUACUCUUCGGCGGCUGGGCCAGCAUCGACUCGGGCGGUUGGAUAAAGACCACGGGAAUGUAGCUCCUCACGGGGAGUGUUAUAGCCCGCGGUGCAAUGCAACCUGCCUGGGUCGAGGUCUGCGCAUCUGCUAGGAUGCUGGCGUAAUGGCCUUAAGCGGCCCGUCUUGAAACACGGACCAAGGAGUCUAACAUUCGUGCAAGUGUUCGGGUGUCAAACCCGUACGCGUAAUGAAAGUGAACGGAGGUGGGAACCCUUACGGGUGCACCAUCGACCGAUCCUAAUGUCUUCGGAUGGAUUUGAGUAUGAGCACGUAUGUUGGGACCCGAAAGA